CUGCAGUCAGUGAAGCCACCUGGGUUCCUUGGAUGGUGGAUGCCCAGAGAGCAGUGGCUGUGAACUGCAGCCUUCUCAGUAGUGUAUGCAGCCUGGUGCUUGUAUGUGCCACCCUAAGGGACCUUAGAGACACCA
ensembl:snoRNA SNORA70 Small nucleolar RNA SNORA70